UACGUAGGGGGCAAGCGUUGUCCGGAUUUAUUGGGCGUAAAGAGCGUGUAGGCGGCCAGGUAGGUCUGCUGUGAAAACUCGAGGCUCAACCUCGAGACGUCGGUUGAAACCACCUGGCUAGAGUCCGGAAGAGGAGUGUGGAAUUCCCGGUGUAGCGGUGAAAUGCGCAGAUAUCGGGAAGAACACCCGUGGCGAAGGCGGCACUCUGGGACGGUACUGACGCUGAGACGCGAAAGCGUGGGGAGCGAACAGG
rnacentral:rRNA from 1 species